ACAGCACCUACAUGGCUACACCGUUCAAUCAGACUGUGAGUAAUUUGUAUAAACAAAAACUAGUUACAUACUUACCCUCCUAUAAAGUCGCAGUGCGUUGAAAUAAUACUGCCUGCUUGGGUAAAUCAACCAUGUCUAUUCUGGCAAAAGCCAAACAUCAAUUAGUGAUGGUUUUAGUGAAAUAAUAGGAAAAAUAAGAAGAUUACCAAUAUUGUUUUUGUUGUUAACACUAUAAACAACAGCAGACGACAUCUACAAAACGUUAAAUUAAAAUUACUUCAAAAACACUUACGGAAAAAAAUUUGUAUUUUAAAUUUAACCUGAAAAAUCUAGUUUAUAACCUUAUGUCUAGUUAUUUUCUAUCACUAACCACUUUAGAAAUAAUUCCACUAUAAACAAUAAUCCCAUAAGAGGCUGUGUUAAAAAAGGGUGUGGUUUUCCAAAGAUGGCGGAUAGAAACGUUGCCGGAAUACAGCAAUCCUGCUAUCUGCAUUCUGCAAGAAGUCUAUUGUUGACAUUUUUUCGCUUAACCCUACCGGGAACUGCGCGAACACCGAGAGCCCUUGAGUAAUAAACACCCGCUGGUUUUGGGAUAGGCGAUAGUGUACCUUAUUAUAUCGUGCUACAACGUUUCGCAAUAAAAGUAACUAAACUUAAAAAAUAAACUUAAGCCAAAUUUUUCUUAUUUUUUAAAUGUCGGUAGAAGGCUGUUUGAAAGUUUUUUUUUACUCACUAGAUGGCUUAAGCUAAUUUCAAGUGAGAAAUUCAAUCUGGCAAUGUUCUGGUCUUCCAGAAGUUUACCAUUUUAAGGCUUGCCAGUUGCAAGCAUGGAUCGGGAAUUUUGCACCGCAAUCCGUUUUAUCUUAGAUAAAAUUCGUAAUCUGGAAUUUUCCUUCAUUUUCUGCAUGAUGGGCAUAUUCAAUAUCUAGUCUCAUCUGGCCAUCAAAGAUCUGUGAUUUGUUGUGAAUGAGUUGGAUGAAAUAGAUAUGGCAGUUAUGCAAGCAUUACUACUCAUUUCUACUCAUUUCAUUGAAUAAUGAAUGUUGGCUGUGAGAUGCCCAUUGAGCUUUCUCUAUUAUUAUUUGAGAGCUGAAUGGUGCUUAGCCCCAAAUCCCGGAGUGAGAAGAAAGCAGAAAAAGAAGAAGAAGCUGACAGAGGGACAGAAGAGGCGGCGCAACCGUUAUAACUACGAGAAGGAACGAAGGAAACGAGAGGCUGCAGCAGCUGCGGCGUUAACUGCGACCAUCCCUGACGCCCCCGAAAGGUCGGUGGUGUUUACGUCCACCGAUCUUCCACUUCGACCCAUCGCUACUGUCGGCCCGUCCGUCAACCUGCCAACUUUACCUGCCGGUCCAUCCACCGCACCUGAUCCACCUCAGCCUGCCAAGAAAAACAGGAAUCCGAACAGUCAAAAGGUAUCCUGCAGCAACUGCCAUUCAGCUAAUCAUUUCCCUAGUGAGGAGGACAGAGCCCGUAAGUUUAUCCAAAGGAGAAGAGAAAGGGAGCUCGAACAGGUCGCACGGCAAAGGGCAAUAGAGGAAAGAAGGGCAAGAGAGGCAAAAGAAAGAGAAGAGAAAGAGAGAGGGAGAAGAGAAAGCAAAAGAGAAGAGAAAGACCCAAAGGAGAGAAGAGAGAGAGGAAGAAAGGAAAGAGCUGAAAGGAAGAAACAAAACCUGCAUGGGAAGGUGAAAUUUAUGUUGCCAAUAAGGAAAGAAAAGGAGGAGACCGUUGCAGAGAGGGAAGAAAGAAGAGCUAAGGAAAGGUGUGAAAGACUAAAGAUUGCAGAGGCGGCAAAGAAGAAGCAAGAAGAAGAAGAAGAGAUAGAGAGGAUGCGGAUGGAGAUCCAUUUUGUUGAUUAAUAUACUGCCUGUGUUUUUCCAGUUGAUCUCAAGUUCAAAAAAAAGUUCUCAUUGUCUCAAAUGACACGUCUCGUGUCUUAACUCAGUUACAGUGCAACUGCAGCAACUGUGCAACUGUGCAACUGUGCAACUGCAGCAACAGCAGUUCCAAAUUCAACAACAACAGAUGCAACAACAACAAGACGUGCUGACGGCCCUAGCGAAUAGACUUCUUGUUGCGCCAGCCGCCGCCGUGCCCGUUGUCGCCGCCCCAGCCCCGGCCGCGAUCAUCCGGACCACGCUUGACUCCGACAUUAGAUACGCAGGAUCAGAUAAUGAAUCGUUUUAAGAAUGGUUACAGCUGAUUAAUCGUAAAGCCUUAGCAGAAGGUUGGCAAGACGCAGAUAAAAGGAGAGCAGCCAUAAGCUCUUUAUUCGGCAAAGCUCUCACCUGGCACGAGGAGAUUGGCAUAAAUCUACCUCAGUGGGACGAUUGGAUAGAGAGCUUGCGCGGAACCUUCGAAAUCCAGUUAACCGAAAGCCAAUGGCAAAAACUGGUAGAAGAGAAAAACAACUGCCGAAUGAAACCGGUUCCGCAUAUGUUCUUGACAAAGUCAAACUAUGCCGACGAAGGGCCAUUCCUAUUAAUGAUGCGGAACUGACCCCUUAUCUCAUUCACGGAUUAUAUCGUCCAGAAAUACGCUCGGUCAUGAUGGGAAACCCGGACGACCAACCCGUCCGACCCACGCCACGACCCGAGGGAACCGUAACCCGAGCCGGAAGACGAACAUACCCACCUGCUUGGCAACUACAAGAUCUAAAUUAAUUUCUAAAAGUAUUUAUUGCAUUUAAGGGCCUUAAUUUAUGAAAUGUAUGUACAAUUAAAUUGAUCCGUCAAGGCAGGAGCCUUGAAAUUGUCAGGAUGGUCGAGUGUUAUAAUAUGUCCUUUAUAUACUGUAUGUAAUUGUUAUUUCGACCGCUAGAAUGCGCCCAUAUACUCAGCGCCGAAAUUAUUCCGAUUAAGCCACGCCCCCUAUUGUAUCCCUAUAAAUAGCGCCCUCACUCAUUUUUCGCGCCAGUUGCCGCUGGAGAGUCGUUAGAGUAAGGGCUACGGUCGGUAGGAUCUCGGUUUUCUGCGACAAAGUGUUGUAUUUGUGUGCGGCAAUACAAAUUCGUUUAAUUUGUCGGAGUGUUUUGUGUCGUGCUUCACAACAAUUUUUUUUUUUUGUACUCAAGUAAAAUUGAUUAAAUUUGUGACGGUGGAUGGAUAGUUAAGCUUGGGCAAUAUCACUAUUGUUACACAUUAUCCAAAAUUCUUUGGGAAACCAUGUUGAACAGUGUAAUUAAAGGCGAUUUAUGUGCUUUUUUAUAGAUUUCAUUGUACCAAUGGGAUCUACUUUUUUGUCAGUCUGUUUGGGGUGGCAAUUGGCUCAUGGUUCAAUUUUGGGAUUAAACCAAAUUCUUAGGUGGCACUGAAAGAUGUUUUAUUUAUUACAAAGUAAAACGAACACAAUUUUGACAAAGUAUAAACAAACAAAUAAUAAGGCCUUUAUUAUGAAAGUCUUGCUGAAAUUUGCCAUGAGAUGCAUUCUCUGCCUAAGUUAUGAUUUCCCAAGGAUUAAACUAGCAAUGAUUACAGAGUGGGGAAAUGUUAUUUUGGGUGUUAUUUUGUUGGCAAGUUUUAGUUAUUGAAGAAAAUUUAUUGGUUUGUAUAUGAAAAAAGUUAUCUGCGUCAUGCAAAGUAUUGUUUUGGAACUGAACAUGUUUUUUUUUUUCUUCUAGGAUUUAACAUGUUGCAGACGGAACAGCCAUGAAGAUGAACGAAAUCUAUAUGCCCGUUUGAGAGGACUAUUGAGUUGGAUAUAAAAGUAGUUAGAUAAGGUGAUAUUUUAUCAUUUAUAAACAGCUGUGUCAACAAUCAGGACCGUGUGACUUAAACUAACCGUGUAAGACUAAAACUCCUGGUUCAGUUAUUUGGACACUUUACAGAUGGAAGAUUGAUAUGCCUCUAAAAAAAGAAGCUACCCAAGAAUCUAAACAUUAUUGGAUGUAUUAAGUCUGACAAUAGUUGGACAACCUCAAUAGCUGGCAAAUCUACCUUUUUCAGUGUGCUAACAAAAAGUGCAGCACCUGCAGAGAAUUUCCCACUUUAUUGCACCAUUGAUCUGAAUGAAAAUAAGUGUUCUUUUAGUGUUUAUAAACAAAACUUUUGGUUACUGUCACAUUAAAUUUCCGGUCUAGUGUUCAAAUAACGUAGCAGUUCCUGAUGAAAGGUUUGAUUGGUUGCUUCAGCAUUAUAAACCCUCAAAGUAAAGUUUGAAGAAUCAUAUUCAUCCAUUGUAUUCUUAAUUGUUUUUCACUUCAACACAGUCCCAAAUUCACUAUUUACUGGAUCAGAAGCUCAUACAGCUGGCAGCAACAGAAAUUAUGUUCAUAAUAAAAGCAGUCUUUCUUAA